rnacentral:lncRNA from 1 species
UUUUUACACUAUAGCAUUUAUGCAAUGGUUUACAGAAUUCAUGGAGUUAUUUUUAUCAGUAUGGAUAAAAUGGAAAUUAAAAAUCUUUAUCAUCUUGUCUGUGUCUGGAAGAGAAAGCGCGCCCUCUGGUGGGGACUCCCCACAUUGCGCCUCGCAGCCUGAUCACAGGUUGUUGGCUCGCAGCCCCGGGUCGCCGCGCAGGUGCUCUGCCGUGGGGUCUGUGGGUGUCUUGGGGCCCAGGUGCUCAGAGAUGUAAGUUUCUGCCAAAACACCAAGUGGCAAGAGGAAGGCAAUGCCUCGCAGGUGGCAGGUCCCAAGGCGGGCUGGGCACCACCCCAGGCACCACUGACCUGCAGGCUGCGUGUAGGGGAUGCCGUGCUGGGUCAGCACGCUCCGCAGCCUCUCCAGCUCCGCUGACAGGGCUUUAUGUGCCUAGAGCGUGAGUUCCAGGGAGAAGUCAGGCCCUUGGCAGGAGGCCGUCCAGCCCCAGGGAGGCCCCGCCGGUACCUCAUGGCAGCUCUCCAGCGUCUCAAACACCAGGCCCUUGGCACCCCUGUCCUGCUGCGCCUGCUCGCUUUGUUCUGGGGCCUUUAAAUAGCCAGCAUCCUCAAAGAUCGACCUGAGCAACUUCUCAUAGCCCUAAAGGUGGAGGAUGAAGAGGGAGCACCCAGCCCGGGAUAGGGGGACCACUCAGCGGGGGGGCACCCACCCUAGCCCUUCACCUGGGAUGUGAUCAGCCCGUCCGCCAGAUCCUGCUCCACCUGCUCCCACCUGUGCUGCAGGGCCGCAGGCAGGGUGGGGUACACUGAGGAGCCAAGAGAAACCAGACUGAGUUGAGCCCCUCUGCACCCCAAUGCCCCUGGCCAGCCCUGGUGCCCACCUAGCAAGGAGUGGGGGUGGCACACAAGGGGCGUCUCAAAGGUCAGCGCGUAGACACAGGUGUGUGGCUCGGACACGUGGGCCAACCGGUUGCUCUUGCCGCAGGUAAGCUCCACCUGGGGGUGGGGGCGACACCCAGCCCCCACUCACCCGAGGAUCCCGCUGUAGGCGUUCCAGCGGAAGGUCUGCUCAUGCUGGGUCACGUUGUGGAAUGGGCAGAACUCAUACUUGUACCUGGGGGCACAGCCGCUGUCAGGGGGGUCCCAACCCCAUGCCACACCCACCCCUCCCCUCACUCACGUGGCCUCCACCAGGCUGAAGCACUUGCCGGAGAGUCUGGAGAGAUGCCCGGGCCCUGGAAGGGAGAGCAGGAUUUGCUGUGCAGAGUGCAGAGAGCAGGCCCGAGGCACCCACAGAACCAGGGCUAUCCAGGAAAAGCUCCGGUGCUUGCACGUUAAUGCUGGAGCCAGAGAGCAUGGGUGACACCAGCCAAGUACAGGCUGGGAAGCUCCAAGGUCCCAUCCCUCAGAAGCAUCGAGAGAACC